rfam:Chelonobacter oris strain 1662 contig000006, whole genome shotgun sequence.
GCGGGCAUCGUAUAAUGGCUAUUACCUCAGCCUUCCAAGCUGAUGACGCGGGUUCGAUUCCCGCUGCCCGCU